CAGGAUGCUCCUGUCUCCUCACCUAUAAUGAGGUUAAAAACCUUCCCUUUAAACAGGAUGCCCUUGUCUCCUCACCUAUAAUGAGGUUAAAAACCCUCCCUUUAACCUCAUGCCUUUGUCUCCUCACCUAUAAUAAGGUUAAAAACCUUCCCUUUAAACAGGAUGCCCUUGUCUCCUCACCUAUAAUGAGGUUAAAAACCUUCCCUUUAACCUCAUGCCCUUGUCUCCUCACCUAUAAUAAGGUUAAAAACCUUCCCUUUAACCUCAUGCCCUUGUCUCCUCACCUAUAAUAAGGUUAAAAACCUUCCCUUUAACCUCAUGCCCUUGUCUCCUCACCUAUAAUGAGGUUAAAAACCUUCCCUUUAA